UGGCUGCGUUUAAGCACGAAGUCAGACGUACGCGCACGGUCCCCGGGCUCUGCACCCGUCUGUCGACUACUGGCAGAGACACCCCCGCAAAGUCGCGUCACUGUGCGUUCACCGGCUCCCAUGCGCACAACACACGCACUUUAUUGUACACCCACACACCCACACACACCCACACACCCACACACCCACACACCCACACACGCGCACGCGCGCGCGCUCGCGGACCUAAUACAUCAUAAUAUUGUAUAUAUACAUGUACGUGUCCGCUCACACCCGACGCACGUAAACCAUAUCGUCCGCCUUUUUUCUUUUUUUACGACGGCAUAAUACAUCCCUGUGUAGCUACAGCAGUAUACGCGCACUGCACACCGUCGGGCGACUCCGUCAGAGACGCACGUCGCUGCCGUCGCCACCGCCGCAACCGCCGCAACCACCGCAACCACCACCACCACCACCUGCCGUCUCUGUUACACUACGUUUAAUGCUUUUGGAUAAAAGUAAUCAUAUAUAGUAUGCAGACAACAGAAUCAUUUCAAAACGUGGAUUAUUAGACCGGACAACUUCAGUUUAGAUUUAGGUGCUAUAUGGUCCUUGUGAGAGGAAUGUUUGAAGAAUGGCUCAAACGAUGUCGCGAAUCUCGCCAACUCGUAGUGGUGAUCGUAGCUAU